rnacentral:rRNA from 1 species
CCUACGGGAGGCAGCAGUGGGGAAUAUUGCGCAAUGGGCGAAACCCUGAUCCAGCGACGCCGCGUGAAUGAAGAAGUAUUUCGGGAUGUAAACCUCUAUCGACAGGGAAGAGCAGAGGACGGUACCUGACGAAUAAGCCCCGGCUAACUACGUGCCAGCAGCCGCGGUAAUACGUAGGUGGCAAGCGUUAUCCGGAUUUACUGGGUGUAAAGGGAGUGUAGCCGGGCAUGCAAGUCAGAUGUGAAAUCCGGGAGCUCAACCCCCGAACUGCAUUGGAAACUGUAGGUCUUGAGUGCCGGAGAGGCAGGCGGAAUUCCUGGUGUAGCGGUGAAAUGCGUAGAUAUUAGGAGGAACACCAGUGGCGAAGGCGGCCUGCUGGACUGCAACUGACGUUGAGGCUCGAAAGCGUGGGGAGCAAACAGGAUUAGAUACCCGAGUAGUC